AUUGAACGCUGGCGGCGUGCCUAACACAUGCAAGUCGAGCGGUAACAGGUGUAGCAAUACAUGCUGACGAGCGGCGAACGGGUGAGUAAUGCAUUGGAAUCUUCCCAGUAGUGGGGAAUAACCAGUCGAAAGAUUGGCUAAUACCGCAUACGUCGGAAACGGGAAAGCGGGGGAUCGUAAGACCUCGCGCUAUUGGAUGAGCCAAUGUCGGAUUAGCUAGUUGGUGAGGUAACGGCUCACCAAGGCGACAAUCCGUAGCUGGUCUGAGAGGACGACCAGCCACACCGGAACUGAGACACGGUCCGGACUCCUACGGGAGGCAGCAGUGGGGAAUAUUGGACAAUGGGGGAAACCCUGAUCCAGCGACGCCGCGUGUGUGAAGAAGGCCUGCGGGUUGUAAAGCACUUUUAGUGGGGACAAAAAGUCACGGGCUAAUACCUUGUGAUCUUGAUUUAACUCACAGAAAAAGCACCGGCUAACUCUGUGCCAGCAGCCGCGGUAAUACAGAGGGUGCGAGCGUUAAUCGGAAUUACUGGGCGUAAAGCGCGCGUAGACGGUUUGGUAAGUCAGAUGUGAAAUCCCCGGGCUCAACCUGGGAACUGCAUUUGAUACUGCC
rnacentral:rRNA from 1 species